AGCAGCCGCGGUAAUUCCAGCUCCAAAAGCGUAUAUUAAAGUUGUUGCAGUUAAAAAGCUCGUAGUUGAAUUUCGGGAUCAAUUUGUUGGUCGUACCUUGGUACGUACUGGCAUUAUUGGUUUCUCCCUCCUGAGGAUCCUUGAUGUCAUUAAUUUGGUGUCUUGGGGAAUCAGGACUGUUACCUUGAAAAAAUUAGAGUGUUUAAAGCAGGCAUACGCUUGAAUACAUUAGCAUGGAAUAAUGAAAUAGGACGUUCGAUUCUAUUUUGUUGGUUUCUAGGAUCGAUGUAAUGAUUAAUAGGGAUAGUUGGGGGCAUUAGUAUUCAAUUGUCAGAGGUGAAAUUCUUGGAUUUAUUGAAGACUAACUACUGCGAAAGCAUUUGCCAAGGAUGUUUUCAUUAAUCAAGAACGAAAGUUAGGGAUCGAAGACGAUCAGAUACCGUCGUAGUCUUAACCAUAAACUAUGACCGACUAGAGAUCGGAUGGAUUGUUUAAUUUUUAAUGUACUCAUUCGGUACCG
rnacentral:rRNA from 1 species